GAUGAACGCUGGCGGCGUGCUUAACACAUGCGAGUCGAACGAUGAGGCCCAGCUUGCUGGGUGGAUUAGUGGCGAACGGGUGAGUAACACGUGAGUAACCUGCCCUUGACUUUGGGAUAAGUUCGGGAAACUGGGGCUAAUACCGGAUAGGAGCUCCUGCCGCAUGGUGGGGGGUGGAAAGUUUCGGUGGUUUUGGAUGGACUCGCGGCCUAUCAGCUUGUUGGUGGGGUAGUGGCUUACCAAGGCGUUGACGGGUAGCCGGCCUGAGAGGGUGACCGGCCACAUUGGGACUGAGAUACGGCCCAGACUCCUACGGGAGGCAGCAGUGGGGAAUAUUGCACAAUGGGCGGAAGCCUGAUGCAGCAACGCCGCGUGCGGGAUGACGGCCUUCGGGUUGUAAACCGCUUUCGCCUGUGACGAAGCGUGAGUGACGGUAAUGGGUAAAGAAGCGCCGGCUAACUACGUG
rnacentral:rRNA from 1 species